UGGGGAAUAUUGCACAAUGGGCGCAAGCCUGAUGCAGCCAUGCCGCGUGUGUGAAGAAGGCCUUCGGGUUGUAAAGCACUUUCAGCGAGGAGGAAGGGUAGUGUGUUAAUAGCACAUUGCAUUGACGUUACUCGCAGAAGAAGCACCGGCUAACUCCGUGCCAGCAGCCGCGGUAAUACGGAGGGUGCAAGCGUUAAUCGGAAUUACUGGGCGUAAAGCGCACGCAGGCGGUUUGUUAAGUCAGAUGUGAAAUCCCCGCGCUUAACGUGGAACUGCAUUUGAAACUGGCAAGCUAGAGUCUUGUAGAGGGGGGUAGAAUUCCAGGUGUAGCGGUGAAAUGCGUAGAGAUCUGGAGGAAUACCGGUGGCGAAGGCGGCCCCCUGGACAAAGACUGACGCUCAGGUGCGAAAGCGUGGGGAGCAAAACAGGAUUAGAUACCCUGGUAGUCCACGCUGUAAACGAUGUCGACUUGGAGGUUGUGCCCUUGAGGCGUGGCUUCCGGAGCUAACGCGUUAAGUCGNCCGCCUGGGGGAGUACGGCCGCAAGGUUAAAAC
rnacentral:rRNA from 1 species